GCCGAAGUGGUGGAAUUGGUAGACACGCUAGCUUGAGGGGCUAGUGAGCGUAAUUUGCUCGUAGGGGUUCGAGUCCCCUCUUCGGCA
rnacentral:tRNA from 1 species